rnacentral:rRNA from 1 species
GACGAACGCUGGCGGCGUGCUUAACACAUGCAAGUCGAACGGUGAAGGGAUCAGCUUGCUGGUUCUGGAUGAGUGGCGAACGGGUGAGUAACACGUGAGUAACCUGCCCCCUUCUUCUGGAUAACCGCAUGAAAGUGUGGCUAAUACGGGAUAUUCUGGGUCUGUCGCAUGAUGGGUCUGGGAAAGAUAUUGUUUCGGUGGGGGAUGGGCUCGCGGCCUAUCAGCUUGUUGGUGGGGUGAUGGCCUACCAAGGCGGUGACGGGUAGCCGGCCUGAGAGGGUGGACGGUCACACUGGGACUGAGACACGGCCCAGACUCCUACGGGAGGCAGCAGUGGGGAAUAUUGCACAAUGGGCGCAAGCCUGAUGCAGCGACGCCGCGUGAGGGAUGGAGGCCUUCGGGUUGUAAACCUCUUUCGCCAGUGAAGCAGGCCUGCUCAUUGUGGGUGGGUUGACGGUAGCUGGAGAAGAAGCGCCGGCUAACUACGUG